rnacentral:lncRNA from 7 species
GAGGGGACGGUCCCCGACGGGGAGCUGUUGUGUACCGCAGAGAUGCGCGAACAUCCGUAAAAGUAAAUACGUAACGGCCCCACGUAAACACGUUUGCAAAGGAAUCCUGGCAAGCCCAAGAGAUGGGGACUUUGGAGGCUUUGUCUAAGCCUGAGUCACUGAAGACCUUGGGUUCCUGCUGCCAAGCCCUGGCUGCUGGUGCUGACAACGGGCAGGAUUUGUUUCAUUAAGAAACAACCAGCUCUCAUCAUCAAAUGGUUAUUCAACACAAUUAUUGCUGUGUAUUCAAGAGCCUGAAGGUAGACCUAAAAUCAGCUCUUCUCAGUGUAAGAUGCGUUCUCCAAGCACUGCACCAUUUAAGCUGUAAAACCAGCCAACCAACUCUUCCAAAUGUUAGCUGCUGAGAUUGACUGCCAUCAUGAAGAUAACAGGUGGGAAGUAUUUCUCUCAAGACCACAGCUGUCCUAAAUCAGCCAGGUGAUCCUGGAAGGCCACUGUGCGAGUCUGAAUGCUGAGCACUCCACCCAGGGACAUGAAGACACUAAGCAAAAUGCCACUUGAAGUGUUACCUACUUUUUUUUUAGCAGUAACUCCGCUCUGUAAAUGCGAUUGAUGUCCUGAGUGAGGAGGGGUUUCUUCCCCACACGUGAGCUUCGUGGGGGAAAAAUGUAUGAGCUGUUGGGUUUCUGUUUCUUCUGUACAAGCUUGCACUGAAGUCACAGGCCAGGCCCCUGGCUUAGGAUAGAGGACAUGAGUGGCCUCAGACCAGCUGGGGUUGCCCUGUGGGUUCACCUGGCAGUGAUGGUUUAAGUGCAACUUCUCCUCAGAUGAUGGGAAAACCUCCUGCCAGAGCUGUGCUGGUCUGCUUGGGUGGGAAGACUGCUUCCCUCCUACUCCAGUCACUGCCUAGGUGGUGAGCACUGGCCAAGUUUUCAUCUAAAAAGCUAAUGGAAUGACUUGUCUGGAAACAAAUGGUACAUGGAAACACACAAACACAAUGAUAAAACAUUACUGGAUGAUGCUAAAGAAAACAAAAUAAAUGCAUCUCUGUGUAGACUUUGAAUAAGCAGCACAGCAUUCCUCACCCAUCCUCCAUCUGCUCCAAGAAAAUCCAGUGUUCAGCAUGACCUGAGCAGGGCUGUGAGCUUCUACUGCUUUUGCUGUUUCUCGAUGUAUGAGCAUGGAGGAGGUCUGUUCUAAAGGAGGUCCUAAAGCUGGAAGGGUUGUUCUGCAGGAGGGGCCGGGGGAAGAGCAUGUAAUGGUGGGAGUUUUACAAGUAUCUAAAAACAGAAGCUUAUAAUGAAAGUGCUUUCUCAGCCAUAACUGUAGUGUGCUGGCGUAAUUGGAAUGCUGAGUGGUGUGCUGGGUUUAGGAAGGUAAUAAGAACUGCAAUCAGUAUUAAAUAAAAUGUAUCUUCCUUUAGGGGAAAUAAAUGUAUAUUAAAUCAAAUAUUC